rnacentral:rRNA from 1 species
AGAACACGACCGGCGCACGGGUGAGUAACGCGUAUGCAACCUACCUUUGGCACGGGGACAGCCCGGGGAAACCCGGAUUAAUACCCGGUAUAGUCUGUUAUACACCUGUAUAAAAGACGAGAGCUACGGCGGCCAAAGAUGGGCAUGCGUGCCAUUAGUUAGUUGGUAGGGUAACGGCCUACCAAGGCAUCGAUGGCUACGGGGUCUAAAAGGAUGAGCCCGCACACUGGUACUGAGACACGGACCAGACUCCUACGGGAGGCAGCAGUGAGGAAUAUUGGUCAAUGGGUGGAAGCCUGAACCAGCCAUGCCGCGUGCAGGAAGACGGCCUUAUGGGUUGUAAACUGCUUUUCUACGGGACGAACGGCUCUGACGUGUCAGAGAUUGACGGUACCGUAGGAAUAAGCAUCGGCUAACUCCGUGCCAGCAGCCGCGGUAAUACGGAGGAUGCGAGCGUUAUCCGGAUUUAUUAGGUUUAAAGGGUGCGUAGGCUGGGCAAUAAGUCAGUGGUGAAAGUCCGCGGCUCAACCGUGGGAUUGCCAUUGAAACUGUUGUUCUUGAGUACAGUCGAGGUAGGCGGAAUGUGUACUGUAGCGGUGAAAUGCAUAGAUAUUACCCAGAACACCGAUUGCGUAGGCAGCUUACCAGCCUGGAACUGACGCUGAUGCACGAAAGCGUGGGGAGCGAACCAGGAUUAGAUACCCUGGUAGUCCACGCCGUAAACGAUGAUCACUCGCUGUUGGCAAUAUAGAGUCAGCGGCUGAGCGAACGCAUUAAGUGAUCCCACCUGGGGAGUACGUCGGCAACGAUGACACUCAAAGGAAUUGACGGGGCCAGCACAAGCGGUGGAAACAUGUGGUAUAAGUCGAUGAUACGGCGAGGUACCUUACCUGGGCUAAGAUGUAGCCGGACGAUGCCGGAGACGGGAUUUCAUCAACGGCUGAUUACAAGGUGCUGCAUGGCUGUCGUCAGCUCGUGCCAGUGAGGUGUCGGGUUAAGUCCCAUAACGAGCGCAACCCUUAUUCUUAGUUGCCAGCGGGUAGAGCCGGGGACUCUAAGGAGACUGCCACCGUAAGGUGUGAGGAAGGUGGGGAU